rnacentral:rRNA from 1 species
UACGUAGGGUGCAAGCGUUAAUCGGAAUUACUGGGCGUAAAGCGUGCGCAGGCGGCGCGUUAAGACAGGUGUGAAAGCCCCGAGCUUAACUUGGGAAUUGCGCUUGUGACUGGCGUGCUGGAGUGUGGCAGAGGGAGGUGGAAUUCCACGUGUAGCAGUGAAAUGCGUAGAGAUGUGGAGGAACACCGGUGGCGAAGGCGGCAUCCUGGACCGGCAUUGACGCUGAGGAGCGAAAGCCAGGGGAGCAAACGGG